GAACUCUCUUAUCUGUCUUGUCCAGGGCCUCUUGGGAGGCAUCCUGACAGCACUCCUGCAGCCUCAGGUCUCCUGCCCACUGACACAAAGCUUCAUGGAGAUGUCCUAACCAGUAGGCUGUUCUGCCAAGCUAGAGCUGUCACACAGGAUGCAGGAGGCAGGCCAUAGGCCAACGUCCAUCACUGCAGGCUGACUGAUGAUUUCUCCUAUCUACAUGCUGAACAUGUGGUGACCUCCAGAGUCUAGGAUGGCCUCCAAAUUUCGGUCUCCAGCCACACACUUCUCCAGACCCCAGGCUCUGUACCUGCCUGUCUACUUGACAACUCCACUUAGAGAUGGGCCUGGUCCAUCUGACACUCCUAGCUGAGCUCAGAGCUGGAGAAAUAGAGGCAGAGCCAACUGUGUUGAGCAGCAGGACCUCUUCACAGCUCUCCACAGAUGUGGCCUGAUCAUGUCUGCCCUGAACCCCUGAAGCAGACAACACUGUUAGCCCCACUUCACAGAUGAAGAAACCAAGAGGGGAAAAG